AUUGAACGCUGGCGGCAGGCCUAACACAUGCAAGUCGAGCGAGAAAGGUCUUCGGACUGAGUACAGCGGCGGACGGGUGAGUAACGCGUAGGAAUCUACCCAGUAGUGGGGGACAACUCGGGCAAACUCGAGCUAAUACCGCAUACGCCCUAAGGGGGAAGCGGGGGCUCUUCGGACCUCGCGCUAUUGGAUGAGCCUGCGUUGGAUUAGCUAGUUGGUGGGGCAAAGGCCUACCAAGGCGACGAUCCAUAGCUGGUCUGAGAGGACGAUCAGCCACACUGGGACUGAGACACGGCCCAGACUCCUACGGGAGGCAGCAGUGGGGAAUUUUCCGCAAUGGGCG
rnacentral:rRNA from 1 species